UACGUAUGUUCCAAGCGUUAUCCGGAUUUAUUGGGCGUAAAGCGAGCGCAGACGGUUAUUUAAGUCUGAAGUGAAAGCCCUCGGCUUAACCGAGGAAUUGCUUUGGAAACUGGAUAACUUGAGUGCAGUAGAGGAAAGUGGAACUCCAUGUGUAGCGGUGAAAUGCGUAGAUAUAUGGAAGAACACCAGUGGCGAAGGCGGCUUUCUGGACUGUAACUGACGUUGAGGCU
rnacentral:rRNA from 1 species